rnacentral:lncRNA from 1 species
CUGGACCCUUUGGGUCCUAAGCUCUUUCAAUUUUCAGUCCCCAUUCCCUUUCUAUGUGCUGAGUUAAGGCCUUGGCAUGACAGUAUCCUAAUACAUGCCUAUAGGAUUCUGCAUUUUGCUUAUCAUAUAGAAGGCAUGUCUAUAGGGUUUUUGAAUACUAUAUACGUAACUAUCACUAGGAAAAUGAUUUGUAGGCUUAAACAAUAAUCAAUUGCAUUCUAGAUACCAUGCUCGUAGGAUUUCUGCAUUCUUUCCAUGCCUAUAAAAAGUGUUUAAAAUUAACAACGCUAGAAAGCAUGCCUAUCGGAAUUAUCAAUCAAUUCUGAAUCUCCUCACUUGUUUUAGGUUAAUUUGUCAGUAGCAAUGUGUUAUCAACUACAGAAUUUGUGUUAUUCUGUUAAAACUGGCAACCUUUUUGUAACCAGUUUACUUCUUUUCUAAAACCAGUAGAUGCCAUGCCUAUAGGAUUCACCUAGGCAAGCCUUAGAGUAAAAGGUUGUAACUGUAUCACUCUUCAAUAAUUGCAGCCAGGCGAACCUAAUGUGAACUUCUUGUUUGAAAAUAUAUGAUGAACCAGUCCCCUUCAACGGUUAAGUUUAAUUCAGACCUAAUUAGUAUACGUAAUGCUAAAGUACAUGUUUUUCUGUGAUUCUAAGGGAGCUUAUUUGAGCCCCAUAACCAUCCUAUAUGUUUUGUUUGACGCCUUAGAGUUUUGACCUUUCUAAACUCUUGAAAUAGCCCAACUUCCUUCCCUUUAGGAUAGUAGUCCUAAAUUGCCUCCGGGACUGAAAGGAUCGGGGCGAGUAGUAGCAUGCACUAAGUAACCAUACUAUUCCAUAAUUAAAUACCUUAGCAGGGUGGGAAGGGUAGAAUAUGGAUAUGAUGACCCGUGCGCUAAUAUCACGUGCGACCCCUCUUCUGAAGAGUGUUUGCCGGUUAUUGCAUUGAUGUGAUCCAUAUUGUUUACAAACCUAGGACCCCUUUUCCCUUUUACUUAUUUAUCUUUCUCGAAAAAGUUGUUCAAACUAUUUCUCUAAAAAUUCUACUUUCUUUACUUUCUUCAAACUCUCAACUUGCAUGUAAUAUUAUGUGAAAACCCCCUCUACUUGAGACUUCUAUUUUCUUAUUUGUUAUUCAAAGUCACAAUUGUAGCAUGGGCGGGAACCAGACUAGUGGAUCUUGAGGGGUUCCUAAGACCUUCCCCUUAAGAUAAUUUCUUGCCC